rnacentral:miRNA from 1 species
AUUCGAAUAUUUAAAUAGUAUAGCCGGGCGGCUAUACCUUCUAAAUAUAUUUGAAUAUUUAAAUAGUAUAGCCGAUCGGCUAUACGUUUUAAAUAUAUUUUA